UACAGAGGUCUCAAGCGUUGUUCGGAUUCAUUGGGCGUAAAGGGUGCGUAGGUGGCGCCGUAAGUCGGGUGUGAAAUUUCGGAGCUUAACUCCGAAACUGCAUUCGAUACUGCGGUGCUUGAGGACUGGAGAGGAGACUGGAAUUCAUGGUGUAGCAGUGAAAUGCGUAGAGAUCAUGAGGAAGACCAGUGGCGAAGGCGGGUUUCUGGACAGUUCCUGACACUGAGGCACGAAGGCCAGGGGAGCAAACGGG
rnacentral:rRNA from 1 species